AAUGGCCGGGACAAAGGGUCGCGAUUCCGUGAGGGUGAGCUAACCCCAAAAACCCGUCCUCAGUUCGUAUUGCAGGCUGCAACUCGCCUGCAUGAAG
rnacentral:ncRNA from 1 species